rfam:Felis catus isolate Cinnamon breed Abyssinian chromosome C2, whole genome shotgun sequence.
GCCUGGGUGGCUCAGUCGGUUAAGCGACUGACUUCAGCUCAGGUCAUGAUCUCACGGUUCGUGGGUUCGAGCCCCGCAUUAAGGCU